CACGUAGGGCGCGAGCGUUGUCCGGAAUUAUUGGGCGUAAAGAGCUUGUAGGCGGUUUGUCGCGUCUGCCGUGAAAAUUCGAGGCUCAACCUCGAACUUGCGGUGGGUACGGGCAGACUAGAGUGUGGUAGGGGAGACUGGAAUUCCUGGUGUAGCGGUGAAAUGCGCAGAUAUCAGGAGGAACACCAAUGGCGAAGGCAGCUCGCUGGGACGGUACUGACGCUGAGACGCGAAAGCGUGGGGAGCGAACAGG
rnacentral:rRNA from 1 species